UUUAUUUCCCUGCAGCUCUCAUCCCCUGCUCAUCCAAGCCUCCCUCCUUCCAGAUGAAUAGGAACAGGUUACAGCUGACCCAGUUUCACUCCCAGCUUCAGAAGAUGAAUCACGGGGCUGGAGAGACUUCUUCAUGAAGGAAUACAGGGACAGUCACAGGAGACAGGAGCACCAAGGGAUUCGGACAUGUGGCUGACACAGUCUUCUGGAGAGCCCCGGAUGGCAUCAGGGGGAAACCUGGCCUGAGACAGUGCCCUGAUGGACAAGGACAGGAAUACGGUCAUACCUCCUGCCCACUUGACCAACGACCAGGAUGAGAAGCCAACAGAUGAUGAAUAUGAAUUAAAGUUGGACAACUAGCAAGUUUAAAACUUGGACUGGGACCUAGAUCUUCCGAUUCCUACAGCUAGCCUCCCUUUCCAUCUUCUCUGUGGUCAUCACUAAUGCAGUUUUUGACCGUCUUGUCCAGAAGCUGCAAAACAGACAACAGAAGCCAGGACUGGCCCUGCCUUAGAUGGCUUUCAGUGCAGGAAAGUAUCAAGACAGUCUUGUUCGUAGCGUAUAUCUCUCUCCACCUUUUCUGCUAAGCACCUCAUGUAUGCAGCUGCCAAUGUAACACCUCCAUUUGCGUGUUUAAUCACCAUCUCAAGCUAAUGUAACCAAGCAGACUUCUUGGCCUUCAUCCCUGCCUCCUCUAGUCUUCUCAUCUCUCUCUCUCUCUCUCUCUUUUUGAGACAGAAUUUGGCUCUGUUGCCCAGGCUGGAGUGCAGUGGCACCAUCUUGGCUCACUGCAACCUCUGCCUCCUGGGCUCAAGCCAUCCUCCCAACUCAGCCUCCUGAGUAGCUGGGUCUUCCCAUCUCUUUAAAAAACAAUUCAAUUGUUCAGAACAAAACCCUGGAGUCAUAUUUAAUUCCUCCCUUCCUCUUGCACUUCUAAACCAAUCAUUCAUCUCUACUUUGAAAAUGUUUCUUUAUUCAUCCAGUGCACCAAGCCACCAUCACCUCGAGGCAGGAAUAUUCAACGGCCUCAUAAGUGGUCUCCCUAUUUGUGUUAUAUUCAAUGCAUGUCUUUUCUUACUCAAAAUCCUAUAAAGGCUUCUCUUCACCAUCCACGACUGUUUCCUGCCUUCCUCACUAUGAUCCCAUCACUGACCCCUCAAGACUAUGUUCCAGCCUACUUUCUGCUCCUUGACCAACACCCUUACUCUGAUUCCCACUUUUGUGACUUCACAUGAGUCCCCUGUCUGCCUGGACACUCUGCCCCCAACCUUGAAGUGCUCACCCUUCCCUGUCACUCAGUUGAAAGUCAAAUUCCAUUUCCUCAUGAGGGCUUCCCUGAAUACCCACUUUUAAUUAACUCUCUGCCUCCUCCCAUCACUUCUGUUUUACCCCCUCUUUUAGUUCCUUCCUAUCUUAGUUUCAUAAGAGCCAGGGCCGUUUCCGACUUCUUUCCCCGUCAAGCCUCCUUAGAUAGGACAGGUCCUCUGCCUCACCGACUUUAAUCAGUAUUUGCUAAGUAAACAGAGCACAGGAGGAUCCUGUUGUCAUCAAAGAGCAGCUCUGCCUCCAAUGGCGAAAGGAUUGUUGGAACCUCAUCCUUCCUUCAAGUUCUGGUUCAAAAAAUUCCAUGCUAUGCCUCACAUGGCCUUGCCCAGGUGCCUGUUUGAUUUGCCUGGGUUGUCUGUUCUUUCUUCCCCACUGUCCUCAUUUGCCAUGUGGCUCGGUGGUGGCUGGAGACCUCCAUGCUGGCCCCUGGGAGCAGCUGCUAAGGCUCGGCGCCUCAGGACACCUUGGCACCUGUGGAUAUCGACCACCAGGCUUCUCUUCUGUUCAUGUCUCUGCAAGAAUGAGAACCUGCCCCCAUACCAUUUGUGCUGUGUAGGCCUCAGGAGGCAUGGACUCACGCAUCCAGCUUCCUGCAAGCCCUCUGGUACAUCGCAGUGUUCACCCCCAGCUUUCUAUUACAGCCACCACCCAGGGACUCUGGUGCAGGCUCCUUAGAGAGAGGCCAGGAAACUGCCGAGGUGAUAAGUGACAGCAGGUCUCAGGGGAAGAGAGGACUUCUCUCCUUAGUAAAGAACCUGUCGAGGUCGGAAAGACACUCCAGGCUCAAAGCCAAAUUUGAAAGUUAGGCUGACAGCCCAACUAGGGCAGAUUGGAGGAGCCAGGUGGAGAGAGGAUGUGGGGGAGUCAGGAAAGAGGUGGAAGGAGAAGCCUGGAAGAGUGGCUCCGCUCCUGGAGUAUGGCCAGCGGCACUUCGUCAGGACCUCGACCUUCACCCACUAGUGGGAGGGUGUUCCUCGCAUGACUUGUAGGAUCACCUGGGAAACACACAAAUGGAAGAAUUUAAAAAUAUCUGCUAGGACACCCCGUGUCCCCCACAACUCAUCACAGAGCAAACCCAUCACAGAGCAAACUCCUUGGCUACUUCUUGUCUUGGGCCGUCUUUUCAUCUGGCCUGUUUGCCUGACUGGACUUUGGGGUCUUUGUUCCCAGCAUCAAAAUUUCCUACCAGCGACUUUCCAUCACAGCUCCCUUCCAGUCUUCUGGAAAUUGUCAGAUGUGCCUGGAUUUGCAGGGCCUGCACAAGAUAUGCUGUCGAUCUGGGAUUUUUGGGGAUUUUUGCAGUUCACACUCCAAUGUGCAACAGCAACCAAACGGAGAUGGAGGACGUGAACAUGAACUACUGGAGAUGCUGAUGAAACGUGUGUAAGGACCGCAAUGGUAUCUGUGUCCUGCUCGUGAAAUUGACCAGAUACAGCGGCUUCCUUUUGCUUCCGAAGGCCCGGAUUGACCUGACAAUUGAUAUGCUUUGCUCUAUACUCCAACUCCCAUUGACCAUGGGGUGAAAGCACCCUUUCUCGGUCAGCCUCACUGCUUCCCCGCAGAUGGAGGGAUUUUCUGCAGGAGCAUGGGCCCUGGGCCUUCCUUUCCCACUGUCUCUUGAAAGCCUCCUCCAGAUGUGCUGCCUGGCUCAGCUCUUUGGGUGACUUUUGUUCUGUCUCAUGUGACCCAUCAAGAUUCACACAGGGCUGUGUCCCGGGCAGGGCUGGAGUCGACAUUCAGGGAGGAGAUCACUGUUCUGGAACAGAGCAGUGAUUGGUUUAAUUGAAAUCUGAUAGAUCAUCAUGUAAAAAGCUGGCAUGUAAGCAUGCUCCCGGAGCCUGCAGGGCCCUGCGCGGCCUCUUGCCUGGCCAUCACGUAGAGGCGGUCCUCUUGCAUGGUUGGGGGCCUCACCUGCACCACGGGCCCCCAAGCCAAACAGUGAGAUUGUACGGAGACCAUCCUGGUCAGGUCUUGCAGUUUGCACCAGGUAGCCCCAGGCUAUCCUGCCGUGCAAGAGCUGCCUUCUCAGCACAGUGGAGUUCUACGGCUGCCUCGGCUGCAGAGGUCAGCUCUGGAGCCUUGCUGAGCACCUCCAUGGAUGCAUUUUGCAAAGGGCCGAGUAAGAGGCAUUAACGUGGCCUGUGCUUAGUUCCUGACAGCAAGCGGGAUUAAACCCGGAUUAAAGGAUCAGCCCUAAACCAAAGCAGACCAGUAAUAGGUCUCAUGAUAAAAGCAGCCAAAUAAUAAUAGUAAAAAUCUAUUCUUGGACUU
rnacentral:lncRNA from 1 species